rnacentral:lncRNA from 1 species
AAUGAUAGUGAAGUUAUUUUUGGUAGUUGAUCAAAUUACUGUCCCAUGCAGCCAUUAACGCAGUUGAUGUUUAAAGGAGUAUUAUUUGUGGUGGUUAGCCUUGGGGAUGCCUGACUGAAUGCCAUUGCAUUUGUAUUUCCUGAACGUUGGGUAUAAAUUGAGUGAUGGCAGAGAAUGUGCCAGGGAAUUCAAAGCUGGAAUCUGUGCUUCCUGUAUUGCAGAAGUUGGAGCGUUUCAGUAAACCUUAGUGAUGUUUUUCCCCACUGGGAGGUGGGAGGAAGGUGAUCUUCGUGCUUUUGAGCUGUUGAAACAUGGGUAAUUAUGGAUGAAGUGGAGAUGGGAAUGUUUCAGAUAAGGUUUGAAAAGACAUAAAAAGGGAACGCUCAGCAAAGGAGCAGCUCCACUUUUUGGAGAUCCUGCUUCUGGGGUAGGUUGUGUUAGUUUUUGGUGGUCUUUUGUUUUUCUUCCCUGUAAGACAUAGCUGUUCCUGCUGGAAAACCUGUUUCAUUUUGUUUUAAAUGAAAAUGAAAGUUGGAAGUUGAUGAAGGAAGAGAACAACAAGAACUGAAAACAAAUUGGUAAAUUCAUUUUGCUGUUGUGACAUCUGUUUAUGGUGUGAAUUGGACCUGCAGAGCCCAAUUAGCACAUUCCCAGCAGAGAGAGCUGUUUGAACAAUAGGAGGAAUGUCGUGUUAAAGUUAGCUAACUGUGUGUACACUGUGUCAAAGAAACAGGAGCAGGGGGCAAUCAUCAGCUUGUUCUUAAUGAAUCUGGUAGCACUCAGCCUUAUGCGGGGAGAUGAAAAGCAGAAGCUAAGGGCUGUCCUGGUUUUAAGGCUUCACAAGAAUUGACAAAUUGAACUUUGAUUCAACAGGAAGAAAAACGUGAUUUACAAAUCACCUUUGUUCUGAUCCUGUGUAUGGCAUAUGCAGAUUAAGAACAACUGACUACAAACAGAAUAAGAAAUAUAUUAAAGCUCAAAUAGGGUCUUUAAUUACUGAAGGAGUGAGGGUAUUGAUAUGCUUUCCAUAAGGACAGAACAAUUAUAAGUGAAGAGUUGAUGGGGAAAAUAAAAGGUGUCCGUUGUGGUGUUCACAACAGAAAUUGGAAUGGAUGUCCUGGAGAAUCCUCCUCCAGCACUUUCUCCCUUUUGGAUGUAAUAAGCUUGAGGACAAACAGAAGUUGAAGAGGUUUACCUGAAAAUCAACACACGUGUACAUUGCCAGGACCACCAGGCUGCAGUUGCUCUGCUUUACUAGAGAUCCAUUUUAAUGUAGUAAUGAAGUCUCUUGCUGCUUGGCACAUGGUAUGCAGAGAACACCAAGCUCUGUACAUUAAGUCAUGAUUGGUCUGAGCUGUGUGUUAAUUUCUUCAUACUAUUGUCAUUCCUCCUGCCUGUGCCCUGAACACAAUUAAGUGUGCUCAGAUCCUACUUUUAGGCCUUGCUGUUGGGCAGUUACUCAGUGAAUGGCUGGAACUCCCUGGGCUCUUGUUUUCCUUGUUCUGUGAUAGUGGGUUUUUGUUGUUUGUUUACAUGCUUAUUUAAAAUGCAGUUCUGCAGGCUAUUUAAAGCAUCUCUGUCUUAAUUAAGAAAGUAUAUGUCUGUUUCUUUAGGCAGUAAGAAUUGAUUGAAGUACACUGUUGGCUCUCUAGUACCAGGUACUAACCCAUACAAUUCCUGAAGGUUAUGGCAUAGUACACAGUAGUACUGUAGGUAAAUGAUAACCACACAAGCUGUACGCUGGCUUUUUUAGAAGGCAAGGCUAAAUUGUUUGUGUGACAAAUGCUGACACCAGCAGUGACAAAUUUUACUUGUGAAACGUUAGGGCGAUUGAUAACUAAUGAGGGAAGACUUGUGACAUUUGUUGCCCAGUCUGUCUGGUAACUUAAUCUGGACUGUAUCUUAUUAUGAUGAGAGACUGGGAAUUGAGUGAAAUGUUCUUUUGUAAUGAGGAUGUGAUUUGGGUGCAUUUGUUCUGACAGGGCUGGAGCGAUGUAAAUCACAGCAGAUGCAGUGCUGGUAGGCAAAGCAAUCUAAGCAUGGUAUUGUAAAAGCUGGGACUGUGACACACACCUCGGUCAAUUCAACAUCAAUUCAACAUCUCACAGACAGGCUGUGCUGCAGAACCAAGUGCAUCACAAAAUCCAGCUAAUAUUGCAUAAAGAACCUCCAUUACAUGUUCUGUUUUCUAAGUUUAACCUUAUCUGGAGGAACUUUGAAGCUCUAUUCCAUGGGUGUCCAAUCUGUGAUCUUGCUUGGUCCACACUGAGUGAACAGGAGCUGUCUUAGGCUGCAUACAAAAUGUGUAAUAUGGUUAACGUAAGGUUGUUACAAAACUUAUUUUUAAGGUAUCUUUUAUUAGAAUAUGAAAAACAAAGAGCAACAAAAACAUAAAACUAGUGGGAUAUUUGACCCUGUUUUUGCAAAACUAGUGUGUCAACAUCUGGUUCAAUGGAAAAGGUUGCAAUUCUUAGUGAGUUCUCAAGGUGCUUGCCAGAGAUUUUUGAUGAAAUAUUGCUCUUCCUGUGCUUCAUCCUUGACAAUAAUUGUUCACAAGUGUACAUACUGCUGAAAAGUGGCAACAUGAAUAAAGUGUGAUUGUGAAGCAAGGGUUUUUUUUUUUCAGUUAAGGCAGGUCUUAGGAAAGUCUAGUAGAGGUGAAUGUCAUCAAGAUAUCCAGUGUAAAUAAAUGGGUUAAAAACUGGACAGUUCUAGGCAUUAGUGACUUGAUUUCCCUACUGGUAGUGUAACUUGGACUUGCAGCACUGACUGUGUUCGUAAAUGACCUGGAAAAAGUGCUGAGUUUUGGGGGACACAGUUUGAGUUUUUCCAGACGCUGAUACUCUGUAAAGUGUUGCAGAAAAUGCCAUGAAUGAAAAGCGUGAUGCCAGAUGAAACGUCGUGUUGAUAGACGCAAAUAAAUGCACAUCAAAGGGAAAAGUCGGCAUAGAAUUCAUAGAAUCACCAGGGUUGGAAAACACUUCCAGUCCAACCAUCCACCCACCACCAAAUUCCCCACUAAACCACAUCCCUUGAUACAACAUCUAAGCAUUUCUUGAACAACUCCAGGGACCACUGUCCACCACCACCACCUGGGCAGCCCAUUCCAGUGCCUGACCACUCUCUCCGAGAAGAAGAUCCAACCUGAAAUUAGCUAAUUUUGCAUAGGAAAGAGGUUUUAAGGUCAUUUUGGGUAAUUAUGAAAAUAAAAAUGGAAUGGCUAGGCAGCAUGCAAAAGAGUAAUAAAACGUUAGGAACUACUGAGAAACCAGUGUACCUCUCCUUGAGAGUAUUAUUUGAAGAGAGCAGAAGAGCCCACAAUUAAUCUCAAGGGUAUAUUAGGGCUGGGGAGGGUGCUAGGAAGUGAGAAAUAGGUUAUGUAGAGUAGGAGGGAAACAGCAAAGCCUUUUUGUUUCAUGAGAAGUACAAAUGAGGAGGGUGUGGCAGAUGCAGAAUUUGGGGCGGUUGAGAGAAAAUGAAUAAUGGCAUUAAUACUGCAUCAGAACAAGGAGAUCCCACUGAUGCUCAGCCUGCCACGUGCUGAAAGAUGGUAAGAGGAGGACUCCACUGUGCGACUUCUGUACCCUGCUCUGUUAUGUCACCCCUUGUUGCUCUGGAUUGGCCUGGGGCUGCCCGCCAGCCUUGUGAAUUGCUGAUGUGCUCCUCUGCUGCACGGCCUUCAGAACCACCCCUGAUUUUGGAAAAUGAACUUUCUCAAAUAACGAAAACAGCCGUUGAAAGGGAGACCAGGACACGUGAAAUAUGGCUGAAUGAGAAACUCAUCAUCGCAUGCUCUGAGCCAUCAGGAAGUGAACCUCAAAUUGGGAUCUGAGUGUCUUGGUUGGUACAAGGACCUGUGAAAAACUGUAUCUUGAAGAUGCAGAAAGGUCAGACUAUGGGUUUCCACUGCAGGACUAGCAACUAACUGGCAUUUGUGUGCUGGUGGUCCCUGCCCUGUGGACAUACAGUUAAAAAGCUCCAGAGGAGUUGUUGUUCCUUGUGCAAAGAGAAGACCUUUCCUUUGGCUCAGAGAUGGCAUCACUGCAUCAGUUGAGUGGUUACCUGGAUUGGAAGAUGGUAAAAAGCAAUUGCUGCUGGGCUUUUUUUGUACAGCAGAAAGAGGUCGCAAUCUUCCCUGUGGACUGUGGUGGUUAUUCCCCCAAACUUAUGCCUUUUGCCAGCUUGGUGAUAGAACUUCGGGGUUUCAGUGGAGCAGGUGUCAAAGCACACAGCCAAGGAAUGGAGCUGAAGGCAUAAUUCUUAGUCUGAGACCUUAAGUAUGGGCACAGUUGUAAUCUGAGAAAAUCAUGAAUGUCACCAAUGCAUUCUGGUAAAGUGAUAGCUAUAAAAUGAAAGAUUUAAAGGAAGCAAUCAUAAUGGUUAACAGCAGUAUGAAAAAGCUUAAACAUGUUCAUAAAUUUCAAUAACUGCUGAGCAAUAUACUGGAUUCAUCUAGGAGAGAUUUAAUUUGAAAAAUGCUAAAUAGGAGGAACAGACUGGAAACAGACAUUCCUCCUGAAGAUGAAGCCUUUUGGUGAGAAAUUUACAUUGCACUUCAGCUGAAGCGAUACUAAAUGUGAGUACAAUGUGUUAGAAAAGGAAUUAUAAAAUAAAUUGUGGAAGGAGGUUUUUAAAUUUGCACGUUAAGGAAAAAAAGCUUUAUUUUGUAUUCUCACUUCAGAUGAUGAUCGUGUCUUGAUGUAUAAGUGCCCAUGCAUGCUGAAAUAAAUGAAAAUAACAAAAAAAAAUGGUAUUAACUACAUAGAUUUUUAAUAGAAAAAGAAAAUGACUGAAGUCUUAUCACAGGGAAGUAUAAACAUAUAUGCUUGUGAGCAAGUAUCCAGAACAUACGCAUCGAUUUCAACAAUGCAUAAUAUAUAGAAUACAAAUGCUUUAGAUGAAUUUCAAAUUUGCUGUGUUUAAAAUUAAUUGUAUUCUGAGACGGAGCCUUUCAUUGCAGAUAGUUUUAGCAAGAUGCAUCAGUGCACUAAGAUUUUUUGAAAUGGUGAAUACCUUCUUUGUGUUGCUAAUUGCAGCUGUGCAGUCUGCAAAUGAAGGAUAUCCAGCAUCUUAUUUCCCAUUUCAAUCAUUUUAUUCCUGUUGAUAAACAACCCUUAUCUUCUUCCCACACACCAG